UACGUAGGCAGCGAGCGUUGUUCGGAGUUACUGGGCGUAAAGGGUGUGUAGGCGGUUGUUUAAGUUUGGUGUGAAAUCUCCCGGCUCAACCGGGAGGGUGCGCCGAAUACUGAAUGACUAGAGUGUGGGAGAGGUGAGUGGAAUUCCUGGUGUAGCGGUGAAAUGCGCGAUAUCAGGAGGAACACCCGUGGUGAAGCAGGCUCUCUGGGACCGGUAACUGACGCUGAGA
rnacentral:rRNA from 1 species